CUGGUUGCCGAGUUAUCUUGGGCCGGACGUACUGGUGGGUGAACCUCUCGCUCCAGAAUGGGCUCUGGGUACAAAGGUGGGCUGGGAAUUGUGCUCUCCUUCAGAGGAAGGAGGUUCUGAGGUCAGGUUUUGUGCAAAUAUGGGUGGCUGGUUGGAGCUGGUUCUCAAGGUGUAGCCUUCCGGCCUGGAAAAUGUUCCUAAGAAAGUGUUGCCUAGAGCAUAUCAGUGGUUACUCAUGAAGCAAAGGAAGUUAACAGACCUUGCGUAACAACUCUAUCUUAUCAUGAGGUGCCUUCCAGGAGCCUCUACCUAGGGUUUCAGGAUGAGUACCCAGGAACCUCUGCCAACAAGCCAUGGUCGCCUAGGCAGUAUCCAGAAGCCUCUGCCAAUAAGCCACUGUCACCAGGUACACAAACGCCACCUGGCAGACUGUCCCAUCACCUGAAGUACUGCUUCAUGCUGCAAAGCCUGGAAGUUGGGUGUAUGUCAAAGUCUGGGACAGCACAACGCUAACAGAAAAGUGGAAUGGACCCUAUGAAGUGUUAAUGUCCACACCGACAGCCAUCAGAGUCAGCAGAAAGGGAGCUUGGAAAUGUUGAACAGCUUACCCAGCAGAGCCGGGACAACCGGGAAGCUGAACCAGUAGGAGAAUUGAAAUGGCUUUAAGAAAAAGAAAACAGAUAAGUGACUUAAAAUACCCACUGACUGUCAUCCCCUAGCUGUUGUACUAGCUGUUCUGUUCUUUUUUCUUAUCAUUGUAUUGUUAUUAUAUAAACUUUGUGUCUUUCUACAAGGGUGUAAUCAUUUUCUUUGCCCCUGAGCCAUCACGCACCCACUACCUGCAACUACAAUUUGUCUUAUAGUACUGUUAGUUGCAAUACUGUUUAUCAUCUUCCUGAUACUUGAAUGUCCCACCGGUCCAGGGCACCCCCUUCUAUUCUGGUACAAACAUUGCCUAUUUUACUUCCUAUUCAAGAAUAUUAUCCUGUGAGUUUUAAUAAUAGUUUCUUUUCUUUGUUAACUGAGCUUUAUGCUCUACCAAAGCUGUACAAUCACUCCCUUUACUAUUGCUAGGUAACCAUGUGGACCUCCUUUCCCAUCAUGUUACUCCUCAUUUUGGUGGCUUUCCUAUUUUACCUUGCCCCUGCAACUCAUGCUCCUUAGACUACUAAUAGUUCCAGCUAACUAAGGCCAUCGCAGAUGGGGCCCAGCUAACAGACUGUUGGAUUUGCCACUACCACCCGCAUGUUGCUAACUCCACUCUUUCCCUUGUGAUCCCUGUUGUUCUGUGCCACCACAUACCAUGAAUUAUACUUAGACAAUACUCAAGAUAUUAGCCAAAUUAGAAUCCUCACCUGCCUACACUUUCAAUGUAACACCUUUCUCUAAUGUGGUCUCUUAUCCUUUAUACUCAGCAAUCAGGGAGAGCUGGCAUACACAGCAUACCUGAGGGGCCCACCUGGAAAUUUUUUCCUCAUGAACACCCGGCCUUAACUGAGGCAAUAAAAAACUCCAAAGUCAAUGGUUUUCACCCUCUAUGGUGCAAUAUAUAUCCUGACCAUGGCACUCAAUAUGAUCUAAUAACCAGACACCAAGACAUAGAUUCCUAGUUAUGGCAGGCUAGCCACAGCAUUGCUGAACUAACUCUUGGCCAGGCCAUUUGUGCACCUACGGGACACAUCUGGUUAUGCAGAAGGAGGCUCACACCCUCCAAAGCCUAGCCUCAUUUGAGAAACUCAUAGCAAAUACAGACAUUACAGUGCCUUAACCUGUUCUGCAGGUGGGGGAGUGCAUGUUAGGGUUUCUCAGCCCUCACGUUACACUAUACAAUAAUACCCAGAGUCCGCUUUCCCAAAGAAAGAGGGGCCCUCUUGACGGGAUUUUAGGAUGGACCACCAAAGCUACUGGACUAACCAUCUCCUGGGUUGGCAUAGCUCAACAUGAAUUUACGCUGGGUAACCUGACUGACACUGUUGAAGAAAUUGCCAGUAGCAGAGGCACUGCCAUCUCAGAGCAACAGAAAACUCUCGACUCUCUGGGUUUUGAAGACUGUGACCUAUGAGGAGUAGAUUGCCAGGCCUGUCUCCUGAGAUGCUGCUGCCACUGGGGUUACUGGCAGGUUUGACCAAUGCUGGAUAUCUGCAAAACCAGGCAGUGGCGACACUGGCGUCCGCUUCAUGUAGUGGGUUUGGAGGCCCAUCCCAUGAGGACAGUCCCUCUUCACCUUCUCUGAAGGUAAGAA